UAUAUGUAGUUUAAAAUUAAAACAUUACAUUUUCAUUGUAAAAAUAAAAUAAAUAUUUUCAUAUAUA
rnacentral:tRNA from 1 species